GCUGGAAUAGCUCAGUUGGUUAAAUCAUGUGGCUGUUAACCACAAGGUUGGUAGUUUAAGCCCUCUUUUUAGCG
rnacentral:tRNA from 1 species